rnacentral:rRNA from 1 species
AUACAGAGGGUGCGAGCGUUAAUCGGAUUUACUGGGCGUAAAGCGCGCGUAGGUGGCUAAUUAAGUCAAAUGUGAAAUCCCCGAGCUUAACUUGGGAAUUGCAUUCGAUACUGGUUGGCUAGAGUAUGGGAGAGGAUGGUAGAAUUCCAGGUGUAGCGGUGAAAUGCGUAGAGAUCUGGAGGAAUACCGAUGGCGAAGGCAGCCAUCUGGCCUAAUACUGACACUGAGGUGCGAAAGCAUGGGGAGCAAACAGGAUUAGAUACCCUGGUAGUCCAUGCCGUAAACGAUGUCUACUAGCCGUUGGGGGAUUUGAUCCUUUAGUGGCGCAGCUAACGCGAUAAGUAGACCGCCUGGGGAGUACGGUCGCAAGGCUAAAACUCAAAUGAAUUGACGGG